rnacentral:rRNA from 1 species
AAUCGACGGAACCCUUCGGGGGGAAGUCGACGGAAUGAGCGGCGGACGGGUGAGUAACACGUAAAGAACCUGCCCUCAGGUCUGGGAUAACCACGAGAAAUCGGGGCUAAUACCGGAUGGGUCAUCGGACCGCAUGGUCCGAGGAUGAAAGGCGCUCCGGCGUCGCCUGGGGAUGGCUUUGCGGUGCAUUAGCUAGUUGGUGGGGUAAUGGCCCACCAAGGCGACGAUGCAUAGCCGACCUGAGAGGGUGAUCGGCCACACUGGGACUGAGACACGGCCCAGACUCCUACGGGAGGCAGCAGUAGGGAAUCUUCCACAAUGGACGAAAGUCUGAUGGAGCAACGCCGCGUGAACGAUGAAGGCCUUCGGGUCGUAAAGUUCUGUUGUAAGGGAAGAACAAGUGCCGCAGGCAAUGGCGGCACCUUGACGGUACCUUGCG